CAAGUUUUUUUAAACACAGUGGGUGCCUGGAAUGUGUUGCCAGGGUUGGUGGUGGAGAUGGAUAUAAAGGUGGUAUUUCAUAGGCUUUUGAUUUGCACAUGGACAUACUGGGAAUGGAGGGAUAUGGAUCAUGCACAGGCAGAUGUGAUUAGUUUAACUUGGCAUCAUGUUGGACACUGUUACUGUGGACUGAAGCACCUGUUCCUAUGUCAUACAGUUCUAUGUUCUAUAUGUCGGAGGAAUUAAUGUACACAGUGAAUGCUAAAAUCAUCUUGUAUGAUGAAGGAAUCUUGCCUUCAUUGUAGCUAGUAGGAGCUGUGGUUACAGGGAAUGAGAGGAAGCUCCAGAGGAAGGUGGUGGUCAGCAGCUGUGGAAGAGGGAGGAACAGUAGUUGAACAAGAAUGUGCCAAUUUGGGGAAGGGGAGUUGAAUUAAUGCUGUUCCUUCUGACUUAAAUGUUGGUGGUCAAAACGGCUUUUGGUACUUUGGCUUUCAUCAGUCAGAGUAUUGAGUAUAGAAGUUGUGAGGUCAUGUUGCAGUUGUAUAAGAUGUUGAUGAGACCGCAUUUAGAAUAUUGUGUUCAGUUCUGGGCACCAUGUUAUAGGAAAGAUAUUGUCAAGCUUGAAAAGGUUCAGACAAGAUUUACAAGGAUGUUGCCAGGACGAGAGUGUGUGAGCUAUAGGGAGAGGUUGUAGGCUAGUUCUCUAUUCCAUGGAGCUCAGGAGGAUGAGGGGAGGUGUACAAAAUCAUGAGAGGUAUAGAUCGGGUAGAUGCCGGGAGUCUUUUACCCAGAGUAGGGGAAUCGAGGACCAGAGAACAUAGGUUCAAGGUGAAGGGGAAAAGAUUUAAUAGGAAUCCGAGGGGUAACGUUUUCACACAAAGGGUGGUGGGUGUAUGGAACAAGUUGCCAGAGGAGGUAGUUGAGGCUGGGACUAUCCCAUCGUUUAAGAAACAGUUGGACAGGUACGUGGAUAGGACAGGUUUGGAGGGUUAUGGACCAAGCGCAGGAAAGUGGGACCAGGAUAGAUGGAACAUUGUUGGCCGUUGUGAGCAAGUUAGGCUGAAGGGCCUGUUUCCACAAUGUAUUACUUUAUGACUCUAUGACUUCAUUGGAGACCCUCAGACAAUCAUUAAUCGGACUUUACUGGACUUUAUCUUUCACUAAAUGUUAUUCCCUUUAUCAUGUACCUGUACAUUGUGGAUGGCAUGAUUGUAAUUAUGUAGUCUUUCCACUGACUGGUUAGCACUCAACAAAAGAUUUUCACUGUUCCUCGGUGGUGAGACAUAAAGUGAGAAUUGAAGUCAUGAACGACCAGAAGCUUGUGGCCACUGGAGUUGUUCAGCAAAGUGUUCAAAUAAUCUAUGUUUGGUUGGAAACAUAGUGUACCAGAACACCAAGCUACAUCACAAGGAGGUGGUUGGAAGGUUAAAACAAUAAAGCAAUUGGGAUUCUGGGAUUUUUAAAUACAGGCACAGAAUACAAAGCAAGGAAGUUUUGUGUGAAGAAAAAAAUCAUGCAUUUCCAGCUGGAUUGUUGUGCUACAGUUUGGACAGUUUAUUUUAAGAGAGGCUUUGGCAAGAGUGCAGAUGCAUUUUAUUUGGGCUCCAAAGAUGACUGAUUAUACUUGUGUGGAUAGAAUAGUAAAGCUCUGUCAUGAGUAUUUAAUUGCCAUAUGCACUACAAACGGCUGUGUUUAAGAAUGGAUGCUAAUGGGCGAUUUGAUGGAUGAAAUCAUCCAUUGAGUAAAUAAUGACCUUUUCCAGUGGCCAAGAGAUUGUUAAAAUAGAGGGCACAAGCUGACUGAAUUAAAGAGCAGAAAUGAUAUGGGAUUGGUUUUCCGCAAAGCCUGGGAAGGAUUUGGAGAGCACUGUCUGCAUGUGAUGUUAAAUUCAAUGUGAGAUUGUAUAAUUAGUUGAAGCCAAGUACAGAAGAAUGAAUGGAACUAAUAAGUUUUAAAGAAACUGCACAGUCUGAAUGAAUAUCCGUUUUGCUGCACUAUGUAAAUUGCUCUUACUGAAGUGUGCAACUUGGAUGUUGCAAGAGGAGGUAGCGGGGGAGGGCGUGAGGAGUAGUUGUGUUUCCUGUGUUUGUGUUGAAAGACGCUCGUGGAAGGUUGGAGCAAGAUGACGUGGAAGGAAUGGUCCCUUCUGAAUACUAAAGGAAGAUGCCCUUGCAACAGGAAGAUGCAGACGAUGAUCUUUCAAAUGUGGAAUCCUGAGGACCAGGAAACGCCUAUUGUGGUCAUAGUGAAGGAUAGGGGUGGGGAAGGAUGGGAAGUGGACACAUGAACUUAAAUGUGACUGUGUGGAAGGGGAAUGUUAAACAAGUUCUGAACAUGUCUGAGUACUCCAGGCUCUCUAGUACAAUUCAGUGAUUGCUGGGAGUCUGUACCCUGGGUGAAAUGAAGACUAUGUGUAAAUGUGAUAGGCAAUAGGUGAGGCGUAUCUAGAGUUCAUGCGUGUUGCUGUAGUGAUGGGAUUUCUCUUGAGUUGGCAUCGACUGGAUGGGUUGAUUUUACCAUUAAUAAAUAAUUUUCUGCUGUUUUCUGUGGCAAUGAGGUAGAUUUAGUAGAAUGAGGACAAAAUUACAAGAAGUUUGGUGGACGAGGCCUGGUGACGAAAUGGAAACUUUUGUUCCAUGUACAUGUGAGAUGGUGACUGGAGAGUGAAUGAUGUGUUGAAGUGAAUGGGAUGUUCUGCAUUGGAACUGUUGGGUAGUGUGGGCAGGUGGUGUAAAGCGAGUCACACCGUGUCUGCCUUAAUGAAGAGACCGUCUUGGUCUUGUACCCUGAAGAAACAGAGUAUCUGGUAUGUUUCUGCAGGUGGGGUCCUGGUACCAUUGAGUUCCAUCAAGACCUUGUAAAUUGUAAAUUGAAUUGAUGAGAACAGAAAGAUGAGGGAAAAGAUUUCUGGUACUCAUUGCAUUAGUUGUUAGCUUUUAUUACACUAAUUUUGCUUCAGAAUGGCAAUGUGAUUAAUAGUUUAGCAACCUGUGCUUUGAGAUUUUGUUCUGGUAAUUUUAAGCCAGCGUCAGAAAAAUGAAAGUGAAAGUUGCCACUUCUUAAAAGUUCAUAUUAAUUGUAAGGGGGAGGGUGGAAAACCCCUUGCUUUAUUCCGACAUUCAGUAAUUCAAUUGCAAGUCUGUGUCUUCUGAGAAAGCUGUUUUCGGGGUGGGGGGAACGACACAGCUAGCCAGCUGCCAUCGUACAUACAUUGUAUGUGUCCUUGCAGUAUUGUCACCCUGUCCUUUCCCUGGUGCUGAGUAUUAUGUGCAAGGAGACAAAUGGUUGACUGAACAAAUCCCACCAUGCCAGGAAGUAUAAUAUAUGCUUAUAGCUAGUUCAUGUCAGGACUGUCUUAUGAAGAAAGACUGGAUAGACUUGGUUUAUACUCUCUAGAAUUUAGGAGAUUGAGAGUGGAUCUUAUAGAAACUUACAAAAUUCUUAAGGGGUUGGGCUGGCUAGAUGCAGGAAGAUUGUUCCCGAUGUUAGGGAAGUCCAGGACAAGGGGUCACAGCUUAAGGAUAAGGGGGAAAUCCUUUAAAACCGAGAUGAGAAGAACUUUUUUCACACAGAGAGUGGUGAAUCUCUGGAACUCUCUGCCACAGAGGGUAGUUGAGGCCAGUUCAUUGGCAAUAUUUAAGAGGGAGUUAGAUGUGGCCCUUGUGGCUAAGGGGAUCAGGGGGUAUAGAGAGAAGGCAGUUACCGGAUACUGAGUUGGAUGAUCAGCCAUGAUCAUAUUGAAUGGCGGUGCAGGCUCGAAGGGCCGAAUGGCCUACUCCUGCACCUAAUUUCUAUGUUUCUAUGUUUCUAAAUGUACUAUUGAGCACUGGGAUUCCAACCAAGAAAUCCAAAUAUAUUACUGCUGAAGGAUAACAGGAAAAGCAUUCUUGAGGCUUGGGUGGAAGUAGUGGACGCGAAGCUGAUGUGAACAGUUGGGGAUUAGCAAACUUUAAAAAUCAAACUUGAACAUUUGACUAAUACAGUUCAAAAUGUAAAGUGAACCAGCUAAGGUGGCGAGUGUUUAGGUGUGGCAACUAAAGUAUUUGGUAUGAGCACCUUGUAUCAGAAUCAUAUUGCCAGGAGAAAUGGUUCUAGUCUGGGUUUCCUCAGUUUGUCUUGUUGAUGGAAAACUAUUCAGAAAUAUCCAACUAAGCUCUAUAUAAUGAGGAUGUAUGAGAAACAUACCUCCUAUGUUGGAAAUCUGAAGUAAAGAAAUUGCUCGAGAUACUGGACAAUAUUAAAGUAGGAAAUGCAGGAAAUCAACAGGUCGAUGGAGGAAGGAAUAUUAUUGUUUCCCAUAUUGGCUUAACUAAUACAGAAGCCAUUUGAAAUAGCGUUGGAUCUGCUGAGUAUUUCCCGUGUUGUUUUAAUUUUCCCAGUUUCUCUUUAGAAAUAAGAUUUAUUCUGAAAGCUUACUCAGUUGAAUGAGAUCCAGAUCCCGCAAGAGUUGAUUGAUUCCCUGGAGUCCCCUUCACAAUAUGAUGCUUUGACUUUAUUCCUUGCUGCAAUUGUGACAUUCAUAUUUGGUAGAAGCAUCUCUAGUGAGCAGAAUCUAGAUCUCUGUUGCCACUGAAGUGCUUAUGAAAUACUGUUGGGAUCUGAGUUAAUAGGGGUCAAAAAUUAAAAUAAAACUCUCUCUCCAGUAAAGGCAAGGUUGAAAUUGGGAAGCCCCUUUUCUACAAAUAGACGUACAAUUUUGAAACUUUCCCAAAAAACCAUUGACAGCAGAUCACUGCAUUUGCCAAGGUUGCAAUCUAUAAUUAUGAUACACAAGGGUAUCAGGGAUAUAAAUUAAACUUGAGUAAAUGGGAUUGAGGUAUAGAUCAGCUGUGAAUUAAUUGAAUGGCAGAACUUCCUCAAAGGGCUAAACACCCUUCUCCUGUUGUGUUGGAAACAACAUUAAAAUUUGUCCCUAGUGAUGUGGAGGUUUUGAUUUAAUCUUGAAUGUUCAGGGUUCAAGGUAUAUAAUAACAUCUUAUAGUCUCCUGUUUGGAUUUGAACAUAGACUGUUACAGCAUAAACAUAAAUUGAGAUCAAAAUACAAACUGAUGCAGGAACUCUGCAGGUCUGGCAACAUCUGAGGACCAGAGGGAUGGUCAACAUUUUGGGUCAGGAUCCUGAAACAGUCAGUGAAAUUUGUUGUUAAAAGUAAACUAUACAUGCAGCAAUGAUUAUAUAGAGCAAGUGCAAAACAGCAGAAUGGUGCAAGAUUGUAGUGUGAAAGAAUUACAGUAUUAAAGUCCACUAAUGGAAUAAUCAAAAGAGGUAGAAUUAAGUUAGAGGAUAUGGCAACACUUUAAAGAAAUGUAUGUGAUUGGCUCAGAAAUCUGACAACACUGGGGAAGAAUCAUUUCGUAAUUCUUUAUAUCUCCAUUUUCUCUUUCCUGUAUUUUGUCUCAUUAUCUUUGAUCCCGCGAACUACUGAUAUCAUCAGACUUAAAGAUUGCGUUGAUGUUGUACUUAGUCACGCAGUUAUGGGAAUACAUGGAGUGGACCAAGGGAGUGAGUACAUAACCCUGAAGGAUACUAGUAUUGAAGGUCAGCGUGGGGGCAAUGUCAUGACUGAUUGCAACUAACUUGAGGUCUGUUGGUCAGGAGGUCUAGAUGCCAGUUGUAGAUAGAGGCUCCAAAGACAAAGUCCUGAAGUUUAGGUAUGAGGUUAUUCAGUAUUAUGAUGUUGAAGGCCGAGCUGUAGUCAAUAAUAGGUAACAUUUUACAGGUUGUGUAUGUUGCAUUGAAUAAUGGAGCACAAAUUACAAUUUCAGUGUUCACCUUUGGUGAAACUGAUAGACUGUAUUCUUAAGAGGCAAUUGUGUUUGAUUGCUGCAGGGAGGUUAUAUGGAAACAGUUUAUUUUCCUUAAGAGGCUGUCCCAUUUGGGGGACCUAAUUGGCGAGUUUAGAAUAGUUUGAAAAAAAUGUCAUGUUGAAGACCUCCUUCGACUGUGUUGAAGACUAGCUAUGACUAACUUCGUGAAAAUGACACCAAAUAGUGGAGAGUGAAGACUACCUCCUUCGACCUCCCUUCGACUAUGAUGAAGACUAUCUACGACUACCUUCGACUACCCUCGAAUACGCUUGAUUACCUAUGACUAACAUGCCGACCUACUACGACUAAACCUACGAGUAAAAAAAGUAUCGAUUUUUUUCCAUGGCAACCUUUUUUUUUACUCGCGGGCAUUUUUCAACAUGUUGAAAAAUACGCCGCGACCUAGCUGAGGCCUCGAGUACACAGGGGCCACUCUCGAGCAUGAAGGAGAGUUACUAAGACCUCCUACGAUCUUGUGUCGACCAUGCUGUGAGUAUGAGUCGAGGGCGAACUCGCGGAUUAGGUCGACCAAGUGGGACAGCCCCUUCAGACCUAUUUUUGCCCAAGACAAUUUUUUCUGAUUGUCAAUUUCUAAAGUAAAUUUUAAAUGAUUCUCUUAGUUCCUGAUUGAAAUUACAUUUUAACAUUUUGGCCCAUGUAAUACGAAGAGCGUUCCUUAAUUCAUCAAUCAUGUUGUGUCCAAUUUACAUUCUGAAAACCUGCAUUAUAGCUUAUAAUGUAUUUUGAGUUGGUGUUACAUCUGGAUACAAAGGGCUUGUAGAGAGCACUGUCAUCAACAAAACAGAUGCAUAUUGUAUUCUGAUCAGUGGCACUACUUGGUUCAGUGUCAGUUCCCUCCUCUCCCACUUAGUGAUGUCUCCAAAAGGCAGUGUGCGUUUCAUUUUGCAUUUCUCGGAACAACACAAGGUUGUUUAGUUCAAAGUAGGCACAAAAUGUUGGAGUAACUCAGCGGGACAGGCAGCAUCUCCAGAGAGAAGGAAUGCUUGGUCCAUACUGGUUCUCGUUCCCACUUUUCAUUUCCCUGUCCUGCUGCUACUUAUCUCUUGCACAUGCCCAAGAUUUUCCUCUUUGAUUCCUCAUGAGAAUAAGUAGUUAUUUACAGCAGCUAAUUAACCUUGCAGCAAAUCCUUGGAGCAAGGGGAGGAAGCUGGAGUAUAAGAGGAAACCUGCACUGUCCCAGGGAACAACUGCUGCCUAUAAUCAGUGGGUCAUAAGCUCAAGUUCCAGGAUGGCAGAUGGAUCGCUGCAUUGCUGAAAAUAAUGUCAAGAAUGUUUUAUAGUCAUAUGUCCAAGAUAGAACAAUGAAAUUCUUACUUGCUGCAGCACAGCAGAAUAUGUAAACAUAGUAAAUAAUA